rnacentral:ncRNA from 1 species
GAAAGCGCAGUGCGGUAAAAGUCGCAUGCUGCGUUUGGAGGGGGGGAAAGGCCGCAAGGCCCUACCUAUCCCUAC